CAAUAGGACUUUGGGGAGUAGUUAAUUUCAAGGAAACAAUCACGAAAGAAGAGAAAAUUGCUUGCUUAUUUCAAAGUGUGAACAGCUCUCUUAAUUCAACAUGAGAGAAAUAAUUGAUGAAAUUGACCCAAAAUUCCCAUGCAAAUGAACAUACAUUCAUCUUUGUUUUGUCUAUAUUGUUGGUGCCAAAAAGGAGGCGAUGAGCAUGCAUUAGGUAGGUCCCGGCUCGCCCCAGCCACUUGACUCCAAAGACUAAUAAUUUAUGGAUCGAUCGAGGAAUCUUCCACUGUAGAUACCCUCCUGGCCACCAAAGGAGACGUGAGAGGAUUGGAAACGUGUUGCACGGCAUACGCGUCAAUUGUAAGCUAGCUAGUCAGUCGUCUACAUAUGCUCCCAAACAAGGCAGAAAAAGCUAGCCAAACCAUCAUCUCCAGCUCCUAGAAUCAAUUAAAUUAUUAAUCAUUUCUGUUCUCUCUUGGUAAGUAAAACUUAUCCAUCAUGAGUGGCAGUGCCAUGAUCUCCUUUUCCUACUAAUAUAUAUAAAACCAAUCGUGUGCUUCGGAUACUUCGAAUAAAACCCAAUAUUGCAAUCAGGGUUUUAUUUACAUGGAAGAUAGAUAUCUUAAAUUCUGGGCGUAAAGAACUGAACCUUUUUUCUGUGGUUUAGUUCGAUCUGCUGCCAAAGAGAAAUAUGGGUAUCAUGUCUAAGCAUCUGUUUCUUUUGCUGCUGGUUCUACUGGUUGUUUCUACGUUCCAGAAACCAGGAGUACUAGUUACAGAAGCAAGGCUACUUUCCAGCUCAUCGGUACCUGAUCAACAAAAAUAUUCGAAGAUUUUCUCGACGCUGGGAAUUGUUUGCAAGUGUUGUGAUGGCGAGACGGGUGAGUGCACAAGUACGCGGACGGAGUCUUGUUCCAAGCUCCAAUGCUUUCCAUGGAAAACUAAACUAGCUAGUCGUCACUAAAUCUAGUGGUCAUUUUUGUUUUCCUGGGUUGCUAUCUGUACAUAAUUUCAGUGAUUGAUAUAUAGAAAUAAAGUACUACUGGGAAUCGAUGCAACUAUAUAUAUAUGCCAUUUCAGAUUUCGUACUUCAGUUUUACAGCUGCAGACAGUGAUUAAUUAAUUUGAAUGAUCGGUCUGUGUUAGCAAA